AGAGUUUGAUCAUGGCUCAGGACGAACGCUGGCGGCGUGCCUAAUACAUGCAAGUCGAGCGGACCGAACGAGAGCUUGCUCUUGUUCGGUCAGCGGCGGACGGGUGAGUAACACGUGGGCAACCUGCCCGCAGGACCGGGAUAACUCCGGGAAACCGGAGCUAAUACCGGAUAACACCAAAGACCGCAUGGUCUUUGGUUGAAAGGCGGCUUCGGCUGUCACUUGCGGAUGGGCCCGCGGCGCAUUAGCUAGUUGGUGAGGUAACGGCUCACCAAGGCGACGAUGCGUAGCCGGCCUGAGAGGGUGACCGGCCACACUGGGACUGAGACACGGCCCAGACUCCUACGGGAGGCAGCAGUAGGGAAUCUUCCGCAAUGGACGAAAGUCUGGCGGAGCGACGCCGCGUGAGCGAAGAAGGCCUUCGGGUCGUAAAGCUCUGUUGUGAGGGACGAAGGAGCGCCGUUUGAAUAAGGCGGCGCGGUGACGGUACCUCACGAGAAAGCCCCGGCUAACUACGUGCCAGCAGCCGCGGUAAUACGUAGGGGGCGAGCGUUGUCCGGAAUUAUUGGGCGUAAAGCGCGCGCAGGCGGUCCUUUAAGUCUGAUGUGAAAGCCCACGGCUCAACCGUGGAGGGUCAUUGGAAACUGGGGGACUUGAGUGCAGGAGAGGAGAGCGGAAUUCCACGUGUAGCGGUGAAAUGCGUAGAGAUGUGGAGGAACACCAGUGGCGAAGGCGGCUCUCUGGCCUGCAACUGACGCUGAGGCGCGAAAGCGUGGGGAGCAAACAGGAUUAGAUACCCUGUAGUCCACGCCGUAAACGAUGAGUGCUAAGUGUUAGAGGGGUCACACCCUUUAGUGCUGCAGCUAACGCGAUAAGCACUCCGCCUGGGGAGUACGGCCGCAAGGCUGAACUCAAAUGAAUUGACGG
rnacentral:rRNA from 1 species